AGCUAGUUGGUGAGGUAAAGGCUCACCAAGGCGACGAUCAGUAGCGGGUCUGAGAGGAUGAUCCGCCACACUGGGACUGAGACACGGCCCAGACUCCUACGGGAGGCAGCAGUGGGGAAUUUUGGACAAUGGGCGCAAGCCUGAUCCAGCCAUGCCGCGUGUCUGAAGAAGGCCUUCGGGUUGUAAAGGACUUUUGUCAGGGAGCAAAACUUACUGGUUAAUACCUGGUGAGGUUGAGAGUACCUGAAGAAUAAGCACCGGCUAACUACGUGCCAGCAGCCGCGGUAAUACGUAGGGUGCAAGCGUUAAUCGGAAUUACUGGGCGUAAAGCGUGCGCAGGCGGACUUUUAAGCCAGAUGUGAAAGCCCCGAGCUUAACUUGGGAAUUGCGUUUGGAACUGGGAGUCUAGAGUCUGUCAGAGGGGGAUGGAAUUCCACGUGUAGCAGUGAAAUGCGUAGAGAUGUGGAGGAACACCGAUGGC
rnacentral:rRNA from 1 species